rnacentral:tRNA from 2 species
UGGCACGUAGCGCAGCCUGGUAGCGCACCGUCAUGGGGUGUCGGGGGUCGGAGGUUCAAAUCCUCUCGUGCCGACCA